rnacentral:rRNA from 1 species
UAUAAGUGUAAAUUUAUAAUUUAAAUUAUUAUAAGUUAUAGUCUUUAAAAUUAAAAAUUUUGGCGGUAUUUUAGUCUAUUCAGAGGAACCUGUUCUAUAAUUGAUAAUCCACGAUUUAUAUUACUUAUUUUAAAUAAUUUAUAUAUCGUCGUAGUUGGAAUAUUUUAUAAGAAAUAUAAUAUUCAUAAUUUUUUAUUUAAAAAUAAAUCAGAUCAAGGUGUAGUUUAUAAAUAAGAAGAAAUGGGUUACAAUAAUAUUAAUUUUUCUUUUAAAAUUUAAAGAUUUUAAUUAAAUUGGAUUUGAAAGUAAUAUAAAUUAAUUAAUUUAUAUAAUUUAAGCUCUAAAAUAUGU